AUUCUUUUAAUAUAAAAAGUAUAUUUAACUUCCAAUUAAAAAGUCCUUACUAUUAGGAAAGAAUA
rnacentral:tRNA from 1 species